GACGAACGCUGGCGGCGUGCUUAACACAUGCAAGUCGAACGGAAAGGCCCUGCUUUUGUGGGGUGCUCGAGUGGCGAACGGGUGAGUAACACGUGAGUAACCUGCCCUUGACUUUGGGAUAACUUCAGGCAACUGGGGCUAAUACCGGCUAGGAGCUCCUGCUGCAUGGUGGGGGUUGGAAAGUUUCGGCGGUUGGGGAUGGACUCGCGGCUUAUCAGCUUGUUGGUGGGGUAGUGGCUUACCAAGGCUUUGACGGGUAGCCGGCCUGAGAGGGGGACCGGCCAAAUUGGGACUGAGAUACGGCACAGACUCCUACGGGAGGCAGCAGUGGGGAAUAGUGCACAAUGGGCGGAAGCCUGAUGCAGCAACGCCGCGUGCGGGAUGACGGCCUUCGGGUUGUAAACCGCUUUCGCCUGUGACGAAGCGUGAGUGACGGUAAUGGGUAAAGAAGCACCGGCUAACUACGUG
rnacentral:rRNA from 1 species